rnacentral:rRNA from 1 species
GUCGUCAGCUCGUGUCGUGAGAUGUUGGGUUAAGUCCCGCAACGAGCGCAACCCUUAUUACUAGUUGCCAGCAUUAAGUUGGGCACUCUAGUGAGACUGCCGGUGACAAACCGGAGGAAGGUGGGGACGACGUCAAAUCAUCAUGCCCCUUAUGACCUGGGCUACACACGUGCUACAAUGGAUGGUACAACGAGUCGCGAGACCGCGAGGUUAAGCUAAUCUCUUAAAACCAUUCUCAGUUCGGACUGUAGGCUGCAACUCGCCUACACGAAGUCGGAAUCGCUAGUAAUCGCGGAUCAGCAUGCCGCGGUGAAUACGUUCCCGGGCCUUGUACAC